AGGACAGAAACAUUUAUAGCAAGAAUAUAUUCAGGAGCUGACUCCACUAGAAAGUGAGGUACAGUAUGAGAGGCGCUAAGAUUGGCUGUUGAAUAGAAAAAGAUGAGUGCAGAUGAAAUAGACACUGAACUACUUAUGCUGCAAGAGAUGCUAACUGCAAUAUACAAACACAUAUAGAACAAGACGGUCUAUUCAUACAGAUUGGAAAAGACUGGAUCACAUCAGAGAAAAGCCUUUGUAUGGUGAAAAUAAGGCACUUGUUCGGCAUGUGAGGGAAUGUGCAUGUGUGAAAAGUCCACCUGGGUUGUAGGCUGUUUAGCAUCAACCAUCAACAGAAAAGGAAGAAUCAGUCAAGAAACCGGCAGAUUAGUGCUUGGCACAGUAGCCACAGAGACAUUGGAAAAGAUAGGAUGUUUGCAAUUGGUGUGAGUUCUGCGAUUGGUGUGAGUUCAAGUAAUGUG